rnacentral:lncRNA from 1 species
UCAGCCUUUCGUUCCAGAUGAAGAACGCCUCUAAGAUCAUCUCUAAAAAAUCCAAGAUCUGGUACCCAACUAGAUCAGGCCUGGAUCAAGAUUUUCUAAUUCAUAGAUCUCAAAUUGAGGUAUUCUAGAUAGGGAAGAAGAUAGAUAGAACCAGACCUUGCAGAUCUGUCCUGCUGCAGCCUUUCCUGUAGAUCUGUUGAUGGAGAUCUCACCCGCACCUCAAACGACCUCAGAUCAA